AGUUGGAUCACACUCAGAUUGAACGCUGGCGUGGAUGUUUUGCCACAUGCAAGUCGAACGCACGGACUUCGGUCUGGUGGCGGAAAAAGUAGAACGGGUGAGUAAUGUAAUGGAACGCCUAGUAGUGUGGGGAUAACUACGCGAAAGUAGCUAAUACCGCAUACGCCCUUCGGGAAAGCGGGGGGACCUCUUCGGGCCUGCACCGUUAGAGCGGCCGAUAUCGGAUUAGCCAGUUGGUGGGGUAACGGCUCACCGGGCGACGAUCCGUAGCUGGUUUGGAGAGGACUCCACCAGCCACACUGGGACUCGAGACACGGCCCAGACUCUACGGGAGGCAGCAGUGGGGAAUUUUGGACAAUGGGGGAAACCCUGAUCCAGUCAUCCCGCGUGUGCGAUGAAGGCCUUCGGGUUGUAAAGCACUUUGGCAGGGAAAGAAACGGCACGGGAUAAUACCCCGUGCAACUGACGGUACCUGCAGAAUAAGCACCUACAAUUACGCCAGCAGCCGCGGUAAUACGUAGGGUGCAAGCGUUAAUCGGAAUUACUGGGCGUAAAGCGUGCGCAGGCGGUUCGGAAAGAAAGACAGAACCUAGUGAGCUAACUUUGGAACUGCAUUUUUAACUACCGAGCUAGAGUGUGUCAGAGGGAGGUGGAAUUCGCGUGUAGCAGUGAAUGCAGAUAUGCGAGGAACACUGAUGGCGAAGGUAGCCCCUGAUAACACUGACGCUCAUGCACGAAAGCGUGUGAGCAAACAGGAUUAGAUACCCUGGUAGUCCACGCCCUAAACGAUGUCAACUAGCUGUUGGGGCCUUCGGGCUCGGUAGCGCAGCUAACGCGUGAAGUUGACCGCCUGGGGAGUACGGUCGCAAGAUUAAAACUGAAGGAAUUGACGGGACCCGCACAAGCGGUGGAUGAUGUGGAUUGACCUGAUGCAACGCGAAAACCUUACCUACUCCCUUGACAUGUCUGGAAUCCCGAAGAGAUUUGGAGUGCUCGCAAGAGAACCGGAACACAGGUGCUGUAUGGCUGUCGUCAGCUCGUGUCGUGAGAUGUUGGGUUAAGUCCCGCAACGAGCGCAACCCUUGUCAUUAGUUGCUACGAAAGGGCACUAAUGAGAUCGCCGGUGACAAACCGGAGGAAGGUGAUGACGCUUGUCCUCGCGCAUCUUUAUGGGUAGGGCUUCUACACGUCAUACAAUGGUCGGGACAGAGGGUCGCCAACCCGCGAGGGGGGAGCUAAUCCAGAAACCCGAUCGUAGUCCGGAUCGCAGUCUGCAACUCGACUGCGUGAAGUCGGAACUCCAUAGUAAUCGCGGAUCAGCAUGUCGCGGUAAUAUUGCCCCGGUCUUGUACACACUGCCCGUCACACCAUGGGAGGUGGGUUUUACCAGAAGUAGUUAGCCUAACCGUAAGGAGGGCGAUUACCACGGUAGGAUUCAUGAUUGGGUGAAGUCGUAACAAGGC
rnacentral:rRNA from 1 species